GAACGCUAGCUACAGGCUUAACACAUGCAAGUCGAGGGGCAUCAGGAAGAAAGCUUGCUUUCUUUGCUGGCGACCGGCGCACGGGUGAGUAACACGUAUCCAACCUGCCCUUUACUCGGGGAUAGCCUUUCGAAAGAAAGAUUAAUACCCGAUGGCAUAAUGAUUCCGCAUGGUUUCAUUAUUAAAGGAUUCCGGUAAAGGAUGGGGAUGCGUUCCAUUAGGUUGUUGGUGAGGUAACGGCUCACCAAGCCUUCGAUGGAUAGGGGUUCUGAGAGGAAGGUCCCCCACAUUGGAACUGAGACACGGUCCAAACUCCUACGGGAGGCAGCAGUGAGGAAUAUUGGUCAAUGGGCGCUAGCCUGAACCAGCCAAGUAGCGUGAAGGAUGAAGGCUCUAUGGGUCGUAAACUUCUUUUAUAUAAGAAUAAAGUGCAGUAUGUAUACUGUUUUGUAUGUAUUAUAUGAAUAAGGAUCGGCUAACUCCGUGCCAGCAGCCGCGGUAAUACGGAGGAUCCGAGCGUUAUCCGGAUUUAUUGGGUUUAAAGGGAGCGUAGGUGGACUGGUAAGUCAGUUGUGAAAGUUUGCGGCUCAACCGUAAAAUUGCAGUUGAUACUGUCAGUCUUGAGUACAGUAGAGGUGGGCGGAAUUCGUGGUGUAGCGGUGAAAUGCUUAGAUAUCACGAAGAACUCCGAUUGCGAAGGCAGCUCACUGGACUGCAACUGACACUGAUGCUCGAAAGUGUGGGUAUCAAACAGGAUUAGAUACCCUGGUAGUCCACACAGUAAACGAUGAAUACUCGCUGUUUGCGAUAUACAGUAAGCGGCCAAGCGAAAGCAUUAAGUAUUCCACCUGGGGAGUACGCCGGCAACGGUGAAACUCAAAGGAAUUGACGGGGGCCCGCACAAGCGGAGGAACAUGUGGUUUAAUUCGAUGAUACGCGAGGAACCUUACCCGGGCUUAAAUUGCAGUGGAAUGAUGUGGAAACAUGUCAGUGAGCAAUCACCGCUGUGAAGGUGCUGCAUGGUUGUCGUCAGCUCGUGCCGUGAGGUGUCGGCUUAAGUGCCAUAACGAGCGCAACCCUUAUCUUUAGUUACUAACAGGUUAUGCUGAGGACUCUAGAGAGACUGCCGUCGUAAGAUGUGAGGAAGGUGGGGAUGACGUCAAAUCAGCACGGCCCUUACGUCCGGGGCUACACACGUGUUACAAUGGGGGGUACAGAAGGCAGCUAGCGGGUGACCGUAUGCUAAUCCCAAAAGCCUCUCUCAGUUCGGAUCGAAGUCUGCAACCCGACUUCGUGAAGCUGGAUUCGCUAGUAAUCGCGCAUCAGCCACGGCGCGGUGAAUACGUUCCCGGGCCUUGUACACACCGCCCGUCAAGCCAUGGGAGCCGGGGGUACCUGAAGUACGUAACCGCAAGGAUCGUCCUAGGGUAAAACUGGUGACUGG
rnacentral:rRNA from 1 species